rnacentral:rRNA from 1 species
UACGAAGGGGGCUAGCGUUGUUCGGAUUUACUGGGCGUAAAGCGCACGUAGGCGGAUUGGUCAGUUAGGGGUGAAAUCCCGGGGCUCAACCUCGGAACUGCCUUUGAUACUGUAGAUCUCGAGUCCGAUAGAGGUGGGUGGAAUUCCUAGUGUAGAGGUGAAAAUUCGUAGAUAUUAGGAAGAACACCGGUGGCGAAGGCGGCCCACUGGAUCGGUACUGACGCUGAGGUGCGAAAGCGUGGGGAGCAAA